rnacentral:rRNA from 1 species
UACGUAGGGGGCAAGCGUUGUCCGGAAUCAUUGGGCGUAAAGCGCGUGUAGGCGGCCAGGUAAGUCCGUUCUGAAAGCCCGGGGCUCAACCCCGGGAGGCGGAUGGAUACUGCUUGGCUCGAGUCCGGAAGAGGUGAGUGGAAUUGACGGUGUAGCGGUGAAAUGCUUAGAUAUCGUCAAGAACACCGAUAGUGAAGACAGCUAACUAAACUUUUACUGACGCUGAGGCACGAAAGUGUGGGGAUCAAACAGG